rnacentral:rRNA from 1 species
CAAUCGAACUCGGAGAUAGCUGGUUCUCCUCGAAAUAGCUUUAGGGCUAGCCUCGAGAGGAGUCUAACGGAGGUAAAGCACUGAACUGACGCGGGGCCCAAAAAGGUUACCAACUCAUAUCAAACUAAGAAUGCCGUCAAGAUACCCUCGGGAGUCAGUCUGCGUGAGAUAAGUCGCGUGGACAAAAGGGAAAGAGCCCAGACCGACAGCUAAGGUCCCAAAGUACGUGUUAAGUGGAAAAGGAUGUGGGAUUUCAUAGACAACUAGGAUGUUGGCUUAGAAGCAGCCAUUCAUUAAAAGAGUGCGUAAUAGCUCACUAGUCGAGAAAACCUGCGCCGAAAAUGUAACGGGGCUAAAACACGACACCGAAGCUACGGAUUUCUUACAAAAGUAAGAAGUGGUAGAGGAGCAUCCUGCGAGGACGAAGCCAAAGUGAGAGCAAUGGUGGACGAAACAGGAGAGAGAAUGCCGGAAUGAGUAGCGAGAUAACUGUGAGAAACAGUUAGGCCGGAUAUCUAAGGUUUCCUGAGUAAAGCUAAUCUUCUCAGGGUUAGUCGGGGCCUAAGGCGAGGACGAAAGUCGUAGUCGAUGGAUAACAGGUUGAUAUUCCUGUACUGCACAUAAUCAGAAGUGUGGGGACGCAGGAGGAUAAGAAAACCGGGGAAUGGAAAAACCCGGCCAAGCGCAAAGGCAUGCGGGGGAGGCAAACCCCUCCCGAUAAGCUGAAGCGUGAUGGGGACUGAAAAAAAGUAGGGAAGUUUCUGAAUCCACACUGCCGAGAAAAGCCGCUAUUGCAUUAUGUGUACCCGUACCGUAAACCGACACAGGUAGAUGAGGAGAAAAUCCACAGGCCGACGGGAGAAGUGUUGUUAAGGAACUCGGCAAAAUGACCCCGUAACUUAGGGAUAAGGGGAGCCACGCAAGUGGCCGCAGAAAAGAGGCUCAAGCGACUGUUUAGCAAAAACACAGGUCUCUGCGAAACCGAAAGGUGAAGUAUAGGGGCUGACACCUGCCCGGUGCUGGAAGGUUAAAAGGAGAGGUUAGGAGCAAUCCGAAGCUUUGAAUUCAAGCCCCAGUAAACGGCGGCCGUAACUAUAACGGUCCUAAGGUAGCGAAAUUCCUUGUCAGGUAAGUUCUGACCCGCACGAAAGGUGUAACGAUUUGAGCACUGUCUCGACAACACGCCCGGUGAAAUUGAAGAACCAGUGAAGAUACUGGUUACCCGCAACAGGACGGAAAGACCCCAUGGAGCUUUACUGCAGCCUGAUACUGGGAUUCGAUGAUAUAUGUACAGGAUAGGAGGGAGGCUGAGAAGCCAGGACGCCAGUCUUGGUGGAGCCGCCGGUGGGAUACCUCUCUUAUGUCAUUGGGUUUCUAACCAGUACCCAUUAUCUGGGUAUGGGACAAUGUCAGGCGGGCAGUUUGACUGGGGCGGUCGCCUCCUAAAAGGUAACGGAGGCGCUCGAAGGUCACCUCAGAAUGAUUGGAAACCAUUCAAAGAGUGUAAAGGCAAAAGGUGGCUUGACUGCGACACCGACGGGUGGAGCAGGUACGAAAGUAGGACUUAGUGAUCCGGU